CCUACAGUGCGAUUAUUUUCGUCGCUCUGAAUUCGUUCGAAGAAUUUGAAACGCUACGCAUACUGUUCGAUCAUUAAAAACUUCAGUCUUCAACUGAACACGGUGGGUGGAUUUAUUUUUGCUGCACUUCGAUUUUGACGCAUCCGAAGAAUCUGCAGUUAAGUUAGAAACACUUAAACGUGUUUAAACUUCAUCUAAUAUGAAAACUUCAAAAUGUGAGCGAUGAGCACUGAUUUGAGAGAUCCGAGCUACAGAACCAAAAAUAAUAGUUACAGAACCGAUAUAUUACCCGUUUUGAAGUACUGAAAUGAAAACCGAUAUAAGUCAGGAAUGAGAUAUCUAAUAAUAUAACAGUUACGAUAUGUUUUCGGUUUUGCUUGUCUGUUUUGAUCAUAAUCGAUAUAUAACAAUUUGGAACAGUUAUUUCCGGAAUCUUUUCAAUUCCUGUUUCAUAUUUUUCGUUUACCGCAACUUAUUUACGAAAUAAUAUCACAAGAUCGCGCGGGUAAGAACAAUCGAUAGAUGUAAUUCGGAAUAGAAUAACGGGCGGCGAAUCGGACAAGGAGUCCUUAUUCGAGGACGACGAAGAGCGCGUGUGCGCGGCGCCGGAGC